AUUGAACGCUGGCGGCAUGCCUUACACAUGCAAGUCGAACGGUAACAGGUCUUCGGAUGCUGACGAGUGGCGAACGGGUGAGUAAUACAUCGGAACGUGCCUAGUAGUGGGGGAUAACUACUCGAAAGAGUGGCUAAUACCGCAUGAGAUCUACGGAUGAAAGCAGGGGAUCGCAAGACCUUGUGCUACUAGAGCGGCCGAUGGCAGAUUAGGUAGUUGGUGGGAUAAAAGCUUACCAAGCCGACGAUCUGUAGCUGGUCUGAGAGGACGAUCAGCCACACUGGGACUGAGACACGGCCCAGACUCCUACGGGAGGCAGCAGUGGGGAAUUUUGGACAAUGGGCGCAAGCCUGAUCCAGCAAUGCCGCGUGCAGGACGAAGGCCUUCGGGUUGUAAACUGCUUUUGUACGGAACGAAAAGCCCCGGGUUAAUACCCUGGGGUCAUGACGGUACCGUAAGAAUAAGCACCGGCUAACCACGUGCCAGCCGCCGCAGUAA
rnacentral:rRNA from 1 species